CACGUAGGGUGCGAGCGUUGUCCGGAAUUAUUGGGCGUAAAGAGCUCGUAGGCGGUGUGUCGCGUCGGCCGUGAAAACCUGCAGCUUAACUGUGGGCAUGCGGUCGAUACGGGCAUCACUGGAGUUCGGCAGGGGAGACUGGAAUUCCUGGUGUAGCGGUGAAAUGCGCAGAUAUCAGGAGGAACACCGGUGGCGAAGGCGGGUCUCUGGGCCGAUACUGACGCUGAGGAGCGAAAGCGUGGGGAGCGAACAGG
rnacentral:rRNA from 1 species